AGUUAUUUAUGUACACUCUUCUUAUUCUAAUAGCUCUCUCAGGUCUAUGCAAAGUUACACCCCCUUUCUCUAUUGAUAUAAAGUGGAGUGUCUGUUUCUCUUUCACUCAGACUUAACAAUCCAGCUCCCACCAAUUCAGCUUCAACACAAAUCAUGUUCCCUGCAUCUCUGCUGCUGCUGCUGACAGCUGCAUCAUGUGUACACUGUGGACUUGAGUUCACCCAACCAAGCUCAUUGGAUGUAAAGCCUGGAGAGUCUUUGAGCAUCACCUGUAAAGUCUCUGGUUAUUCUCUGACUGAUAGCACCAACCUCCAUGGAAUAGGCUGGAUCCGACAUCCUACAGGAAAAGCACUUGAAUGGAUUUGGACCAUCUAUUAUGAUGGAAGCUCAAACUCUCAAAGUUCCCUAAAAGACAGGUUCAGUUUCACAAGAGACACUUCCAGCAACACAGUGUUUUUAAAAGGACAGAGUCUGCAGACUGAAGACACAGCUGUGUAUUACUGUGCUCGGUGGCCACAGUGAUACAAACCAGCAACAGACCAGUACAAAAACCUUAUACCCAUGGAAUGAAUCAAGCACAACACAACAAUAAGGCAUUUAUUUACCACCAGUAGAGACAU